UAGCGUAGGGUGCAAGCCGUUAAUCGGAAUUACUGGGCGUAAAGCGUGCGCAGGCGGUUUUGUAAGUCUGUCGUGAAAGCCCCGGGCUCAACCUGGGAAUUGCGAUGGAGACUGCAAGGCUUGAAUCUGGCAGAGGGGGGUAGAAUUCCACGUGUAGCAGUGAAAUGCGUAGAGAUGUGGAGGAACACCGAUGGCGAAGGCAGCCCCCUGGGCGUGAGAUUGACGCUCAGGCACGAAAGCGUGGGGAGCAAACAGG
rnacentral:rRNA from 1 species